CACACAAUCGUGAAGGGGAAAAGGAAUCAAUAAACGAAGUUGCGGUGAAUAGCGAGACACGCGAGAAUGUUUUUACCGGUUGCUUAUCUAUUAAACAUUCGAAGGGAGGGGGAAGAGAAAUGAAGUUCCCUGUAUAAGGCGUGACAGGGAACAUAAGGCGCAAUAAAACUCGACUAAUUUAUAACAGGCUCGAGAAAGGUUUUCUGGACGUUGGCUCGCUCGCCCGCUCGUCUCUGUUACAAUGCGAGACCCGGCUUAGACGGAUUCCUUCGCCUUUGACCGCUCAUAAAGAGAUACACCUGAUCAAAAGGAGCGAGUUCCAUCAGGAAUUAAUUCGAUUCUUUUGACGUGCUCUACGCGUUUCGACGUCGCUUCGAUCUCGUAACUGUACGAUACGGUAUGACGGAGGAUGAAUUAUCCUGAGAUUGAAAGAAUAUUCUUCGAAUAAGAUCCAAAAUUAAAAUAAAAAGGUUUUUUUUUUCAUUUUUGUUAAAUUUGUAUUCAUUGUAUGACUGGAUAAGUCGAUAAGUUACGAUGAGUUAUAAUCGUGCAGUUACUUGUUUUUUAGCUGCUGAAAAUCGCAGACAGUUUACGCCCCGUAUAAUUAGCGAUAAUAACAAUACGAGACAAUGGUAUAAGCCUUCGUUAAGAGCGGACAAAUAUUUAUUGACGAAGAGCGAGAAACAGAUCCGACGGAUGAUCUAACGAAGAUCGUUAAUGCGAAAAUUUGACAGAUUUCUUUUAUAGGAUUGGUAUAAAAAUAUUAAAUAUACCAUAUUUUCCACUUCAAAACAGUUUCCAUUCUCAAAUCUUAGAUGAUUCACCGAUGUAUUGUGUCGAAAUGAAGGGAACGCAGAGAGAGAGAGAGAGGAAAACAAAACAAAGAAA